ensembl:lncRNA
AUGAAUACUUUGGAGCGAAAGUUGGACAAACGUUCGAAGAAAGAUUCCGAAGACAACGCCAUUGUGGGAAAGAGAAUCCGUGUUGCCAAACGUCUGUGGGAGGAUGAGGAUGAGGAUGAGGAUGACCCCCCUACUGCCGUGGCCACAGUCAGUGGAACCAAAGCUGCCAUUCACAAUCAAGGGGCUGAAAUCCUAGCUUCCAUUUCCUUGGAAGAACAAGCAGAAAAUAGUGACAACGAGCUCUCACUUGUGCGUCAAGAAUUGCUAGAAAUAAAAAAAUUCAUCUUUACAGAGAUACCUCAGAUAAAAGAAAUGCUCAACAGAAGCUCCAUGCACCUCGGCAGUCCAGGGUCUCUCCCCAGCCCUUCAAACCCUGUUCAAAUAGAAGAAAUUGUCCCAGGUUCAGGUGUUUACGUAUCACGAAGUGUGUGGCGCUCUGCUUGCCAGGCAUCUAGUGGGACUUCAAUGGCAAGGAUUUUGCUGCUUGGGGUGUUUGACAUUGAAACACUCAUCAAAAGUAAUUUGAGAGGAGGGGAAUCCAAGGUUUCAAAGGGGGGAGAUGGGGAGAAAAGAAGUGCCCUGGAUGAAAUAAAAGUGAAAGCUAUAAUGGGUAAGUUAUGAUUUUGCUAUUUGACAUCAUCUGCCACAGGUCUGUAUGUAAAGUGUUGUGAGCCUUGACUCAGUCAAAUCUCCUCAAGAACAACUUGGGGUUAAGUGCCUUGCUCAAGGGCACAACGGUGGUGACCGGGAUUCGAACUCCAAAUUCCAGGCUACUAGCAUACUAGCCAGGUUCCUUUACUGCUGUGCUACCACCACCCCUUUUGGCUUCGUGCCUGCGUCCGAACCACACCCAUAGAAAUAUUUGCAAAAAAAUGGACAAUCAUUCAUGGGGCUGCAGGUAGUGCAUCCCAGAAUUUUCAAUGUAUUUGUUCAAAUUCACAUUCGGCGUUGCAAAAAAAAAAAAAAUUAGUUUCGAUGAGAGGUGGUGGUGGUGUUUGGCACUAUGAUCCUAUCCCGCCUGCAAAUUAAAUUGGUGCAAAACUGGCCGCCAUGCUUACACACUGUUUGCAGUGUGUUGCACUAGAAGAAACUGCAAUAAAGAUUUUUGUCUUUGAUUUUUGACCA